GAGGUCUUAGCUUAAUUAAAGUAUCUGCUUUGCAUGCAGAAGAUGCGGAAUAGAAUUUUGCAGAUCUUA
rnacentral:tRNA from 1 species